rnacentral:rRNA from 1 species
GUCUACGGCCGUACCACCCUGAAGGCGCCCGAUCUCGUCUGACCUCGGGAGCUAAGCAGGGUCGGGCCUGGUUAGUACUUGGAUGGGAGAAGGCUGCGAGUGACGUCUAAA